rnacentral:rRNA from 1 species
UACGAAGGGGGCUAGCGUUGCUCGGAAUCACUGGGCGUAAAGCGCACGUAGGCGGAUUGUUAAGUCAGGGGUGAAAUCCUGGAGCUCAACUCCAGAACUGCCUUUGAUACUGGAGAGCUCGAGUCCGGAAGAGGUGAGUGGAACUCCGAGUGUAGAGGUGAAAUUCGUAGAUAUUCGGAAGAACACCAGUGGCGAAGGCGGCUCACUGGUCCGGUACUGACGCUGAGGCGCGAAAGCGUGGGUAGCAAACGGGG